rnacentral:lncRNA from 8 species
GUGUUUACAUAUGGGACUACACGAAACACGCCCCCUAUUUCUUCUCACGCCCACAAAGGGAGGUGCGGGGAAACUGUAUUUAUAUAAACCACACCCCAACUUUGAAUGAGCAACAUGUACCUGAGGACUGUGCAGAACGAAAGCUCGGGUUGACGCUGUCCUUGUCCAUUUAAUUUAGAAACGGUGUUGUGUCCAGUAGUCAGAUAGUCAAUUUCAGAUAGAGUUGUGUCACAUGUUAAAUGUAAAGUCAAUGCAUUUGCAACCUUUUAUUAUGCUGAACGGCAAAAGUGCCAUUUCCAGAACGGCAGAAGUUGAGAGAGGAAAGUGGAGUCAUUUUUGAGACAGCAUAGCGAGAAGGAAGUUAUUUUCCGAGGUAGUGCCGCAGAAUGAACUUUAACAUUUUUUUAAAGUAUUCAUCAUGUCCAACACGUAUGUUGUUCCUUUGUACCAGUUAUGUAUGUAUGCCUGUAUAUAUGUAUUUAUGUAUGUACCAAGAUGGCUUAUAAAUUGUUGGCUGCACUGCAAGUGACAAAUUAACACAGUCAGAGCCUAUGUAGGCCUACAAACAGUAUACCGGUAGAUUGCUGACCAACACACAAUUUCAAUCUUGUUCAAACUAGAUAUAGUUUGUAGAUCUAUAGAUCUAUAGAUAUAUAUAUACAUCCACACUAUAUCAUUUAAAUUGUCUAAUUGUAGGCCCAUAGGCCUAUGACGUAGAAGUACUGUCAACAAAAGUUGUUGUAUUUUCCAGCACAUGCAAAGACAGUGAACUAAACUUGUGUUUGGUGUGUGAAUACAGGUGACCUUGGAGCAUUCAUCAAAGACACCUGAUGAAGCCCUACCCAUCGGAUAAGAGCCAGUCUGCUACUGAAAUGUGAAGAGUCCUGAAGCUACAAGUGUCUGGCCGAAUGUUUUAAAGAUUCAUCACCUGGCAUUGAGGGUAAUGAGCGAGGCGUGGAGGUGAACACAUUAAACCAAGCCGACUUUGCCCAGCCAGGAGGGAGGACAGAGACGGUACAGGAACAGAGGGGCAGCGACCAGGACCAAACCAAACCCCCUCCACAUCCCUUCCAACUCCUCCAUGGUGGCCCCACACCUGUCCAACACUGGGAGGCGAUUUUACACAACAACAACAACACUAGAACAGGUAAAGAGGACAACCAUACUUAUUCGCUAUCACACACACACGCUCACACACACACUCUGACAGUCCUUGCUAGCUGUGAUGCGCCGAAAGGC